AUUGAACGCUGGCGGCAGGCCUAACACAUGCAAGUCGAACGAGUGGCGGACGGGUGAGUAAUGUCUGGUAAACUGCCUGAUGGAGGGGGAUAACUACUGGAAACGGUAGCUAAUAACGCAUACAAUCGAAUGUGCCCAAAUGGGAUUAGCUAGUAGGUGGGGUAAAGGCUCACCUAGGCGACGAUCACUAGCUGGUCUGAGAGGAGGACCAGCCACACGGGAACGUAGACACGGGCCAGACUCCUACGGGAGGCAGCAGUGGGGAAGAUUGCACAAUGGGCGCAAGCCGGAUGCAGCCAUGCAGCGUGUAUGAAGAAGGCCUUCGGGUUGUAAAGUACUUUCAUCGGGGAGGCGUUACCCGCAGAAGAAGCACCGGCUAACUCCGUGCCAGCAGCCGCGGUAAUUC
rnacentral:rRNA from 1 species